rnacentral:rRNA from 1 species
CGUACACUCCUACGGGAGGCAGCAGUGGGGAAUUUUGGACAAUGGGCGAAAGCCUGAUCCAGCCAUGCCGCGUGCAGGAUGAAGGCCUUCGGGUUGUAAACUGCUUUUGUACGGAACGAAACGGCCUUUUCUAAUAAAGAGGGCUAAUGACGGUACCGUAAGAAUAAGCACCGGCUAACUACGUGCCAGCAGCCGCGGUAAUACGUAGGGUGCAAGCGUUAAUCGGAAUUACUGGGCGUAAAGCGUGCGCAGGCGGUUAUGUAAGACAGUUGUGAAAUCCCCGGGCUCAACCUGGGAACUGCAUCUGUGACUGCAUAGCUAGAGUACGGUAGAGGGGGAUGGAAUUCCGCGUGUAGCAGUGAAAUGCGUAGAUAUGCGGAGGAACACCGAUGGCGAAGGCAAUCCCCUGGACCUGUACUGACGCUCAUGCACGAAAGCGUGGGGAGCAAACAGGAUUAGAUACCCCUGUAGUCCCAUGA